UACAGAGGUCUCAAGCGUUGUUCGGAUUCAUUGGGCGUAAAGGGUGCGUAGGUGGUGCUGUAAGUCAGGUGUGAAAUCCCGGGGCUCAACCCCGGAACUGCACUUGAUACUGCAGUGCUCGAGGACUGGAGAGGAGAUCGGAAUUCAUGGUGUAGCAGUGAAAUGCGUAGAUAUCAUGAGGAAGACCAGUGGCGAAGGCGGAUCUCUGGACAGUUCCUGACACUGAGGCACGAAGGCCAGGGGAGCAAACAGG
rnacentral:rRNA from 1 species